GGGGUGCAACACGAGGACUUCCCAGGAGGUCACCCAUCCUAGUACUACUCUCGCCCAAGCACGCUUAACUGCGGAGUUCUGAUGGGAUCCGGUGCAUUAGUGCUGGUAUGAUCGCACCC
rnacentral:rRNA from 1 species